CCUAAAAGUGAAAUUCAAGUUAAAGUAUUAAUAUAUUUAAGUUCUCAAAAAUCACCCAAAUGCUAAUGAUUAUACAGUGCUAAAUGAAAAAAGCAGAAUGGUAACAUGAAGAAUCCAGACCCUAGUACUCAAGGAAAUAAAACUCUAUAGGGAUACCUCAGAGAUACUGACGGUUCAGUAAGUCAGAAUCAUUUUGCUGAUGGAUGGUCUUGCCUCCAUGUGGAUGGCUGCUGACUAAUCCACGUGGUGGCUGCCGAAGGCUGGGGGUGGCUGUGGCAAUUUCUGGGUAAUUUUAUG